CCUACGGGAGGCAGCAGUGGGGAAUAUUGGGCAAUGGGCGCAAGCCUGACCCAGCAACGCCGCGUGAAGGAAGAAGGCUUUCGGGUUGUAAACUUCUUUUAAGUGGGAAGAGUAGAAGACGGUACCACUUGAAUAAGCCACGGCUAACUACGUGCCAGCAGCCGCGGUAAUACGUAGGUGGCAAGCGUUGUCCGGAUUUACUGGGUGUAAAGGGCGUGCAGCCGGGCAUGCAAGUCAGAUGUGAAAUCUCAGGGCUUAACCCUGAAACUGCAUUUGAAACUGUAUGUCUUGAGUGCCGGAGAGGUAAUCGGAAUUCCUUGUGUAGCGGUGAAAUGCGUAGAUAUAAGGAAGAACACCAGUGGCGAAGGCGGAUUACUGGACGGUAACUGACGGUGAGGCGCGAAAGCGUGGGGAGCGAACAGGAUUAGAUACCCCAGUA
rnacentral:rRNA from 1 species